CCUACGGGUGGCAGCAGUGAGGAAUAUUGCGCAAUGGGGGAAACCCUGACGCAGCAACGCCGCGUGAGUGAGGAAGGUUUUCGGACCGUAAAGCUCUGUCGAGCGGGAAGAAGUGCAUGGUGGCUAAUAUCCAUUAUGCUUGACGGUACCGCUAAAGGAAGCACCGGCUAACUCCGUGCCAGCAGCCGCGGUAAUACGGGGGGUGCUAGCGGUGUUCGAGAGCGUUGGGCGUGAUGGAUGAGUAAGAGGUGAAAGCCCUGGGCUUAACCUAGGAAGUGCAUUUGAAACUGUGCAGCUUGAGUAAGGGAGAGGAAAGUGGAAUUCCUGGUGUAGAGGUGAAAUUCGUAGAUAUCAGGAGGAACACCGGUGGCGAAGGCGACUUUCUGGCCCUAUACUGACGCUGAGACGCGAGAGCGUGGGUAGCAAACAGGAUUAGAUACCCUGGUAGUC
rnacentral:rRNA from 1 species